rnacentral:rRNA from 1 species
GAGCGAACGGAUGAGAAGCUUGCUUCUCUGAUGUUAGCGGCGGACGGGUGAGUAACACGUGGAUAACCUACCUAUAAGACUGGGAUAACUUCGGGAAACCGGAGCUAAUACCGGAUAAUAUUUUGAACCGCAUGGUUCACAAGUGAAAGACGGUCUUGCUGUCACUUAUAGAUGGAUCCGCGCUGCAUUAGCUGGUUGGUAAGGUAACGGCUUACCAAGGCAACGAUGCAUAGCCGACCUGAGAGGGUGAUCGGCCACACUGGAACUGAGACACGGUCCAGACUCCUACGGGAGGCAGCAGUAGGGAAUCUUCCGCAAUGGGCGAAAGCCUGACGGAGCAACGCCGCGUGAGUGAUGAAGGUCUUCGGAUCGUAAAACUCUGUUAUUAGGGAAGAACAUAUGUGUAAGUAACUGUGCACAUCUUGACGGUACCUAAUCAGAAAGCCACGGCUAACUACGUGCCAGCAGCCGCGGUAAUACGUAGGUGGCAAGCGUUAUCCGGAAUUAUUGGGCGUAAAGCGCGCGUAGGCGGUUUUUUAAGUCUGAUGUGAAAGCCCACGGCUCAACCGUGGAGGGUCAUUGGAAACUGGAAAACUUGAGUGCAGAAGAGGAAAGUGGAAUUCCGUGUGUAGCGGUGAAAUGCGCAGAGAUAUGGAGGAACACCAGUGGCGAAGGCGACUUUCUGGUCUGUAACUGACGCUAAUGUGCGAAAGCGUGGGGAUCAAACAGGAUUAGAUAUCCUGGUAGUCCACGCCGUAAACGAUGAGUGCUAAGUGUUAGGGGGUUUCCGCCC